AUUGAACGCUGGCGGCAGGCCUAACACAUGCAAGUAGAACGAGUGGCGAACGGGUGCGUCAUGUCUGGGAAUAUGCCCGACGGCGGGGGACAACUACUGGAAACGGUCGCCAAUAAAGCAUACAGUCGGAUGUGCCUGGAUGUGAUUAUGUCGUAGGUGGGGUAAAGGCUCAACUAGGAGACGAUCCAUAGCUGGUCUGAGUGGAUGACCAGCCAAACUGGAACUGAGAAACGGUCCAGACUCCUACGGGAGGCAGCAGUGGGGAAUAUUGCGCAAUUGGCUGAAGCCUGAUGCAGCAAUGCCGCGUGUAUGAAGAAGGCCUUCGGGUUGGAAAGUACUUUCAGCGAGGAGGCGUUACUCGCAGAAGAAGCAUCGGCUAACUCCGUGCCAGCAGCCGCGGUAAUUC
rnacentral:rRNA from 1 species